AACCGGAUUAGAUACCCUGGUAGUCCAUGCCGUAAACGUUGGGCACUAGGUGUGGGGGACAUUCCACGUUUUCCGCGCCGUAGCUAACGCAUUAAGUGCCCCGCCUGGGGAGUACGGCCGCAAGGCUAAAACUCAAAGGAAUUGACGGGGGCCCGCACAAGCGGCGGAGCAUGCGGAUUAAUUCGAUGCAACGCGAAGAACCUCACCAAGGCUUGACAUGUUCCUGACCGCCGUAGAGAUACGGUUUCCCCUUUGGGGCAGGUUCACAGGUGGUGCAUGGUUGUCGUCAGCUCGUGUCGUGAGAUGUUGGGUUAAGUCCCGCAACGAGCGCAACCCUCGUUCCAUGUUGCCAGCACGUAGUGGUGGGGACUCAUGGGAGACUGCCGGGGUCAACUCGGAGGAAGGUGGGGACGACGUCAAAUCAUCAUGCCCCUUAUGUCUUGGGCUUCACGCAUGCUACAAUGGCCGGUACAAUGGGUUGCGAUACUGUGAGGUGGAGCUAAUCCCAAAAAGCCGGUCUCAGUUCGGAUUGGGGUCUGCAACUCGACCCCAUGAAGUCGGAGUCGCUAGUAAUCGCAGAUCAGCAACGCUGCGGUGAAUACGUUCCCGGGCCUUGUACACACCGCCCGUCAAGUCACGAAAGUUGGUAACACCCGAAGCCGGUGGCCUAACCCUUGUGGGGG
rnacentral:rRNA from 1 species